rnacentral:rRNA from 1 species
GACAAACGCUGGCGGCGUGCUUAACACAUGCAAGUCGAACGGAAAGGCCCUGCUUUUGUGGGGUGCUCGAGUGGCGAACGGGUGAGUAACACGUGAGUAACCUGCCCUUGACUUUGGGAUAACUUCAGGAAACUGGGGCUAAUACCGGAUAGGAGCUCCUGCUGCAUGGUGGGGGUUGGAAAGUUUCGGCGGUUGGGGAUGGACUCGCGGCUUAUCAGCUUGUUGGUGGGGUAGUGGCUUACCAAGGCUUUGACGGGUAGCCGGCCUGAGAGGGUGACCGGCCACAUUGGGACUGAGAUACGGCCCAGACUCCUACGGGAGGCAGCAGUGGGGAAUAUUGCACAAUGGGCGGAAGCCGGAUGCAGCAACGCCGCGUGCGGGAUGACGGCCUUCGGGUUGUAAACCGCUUUCGCCUGUGACGAAGCGUGAGUGACGGUAAUGGGUAAAGAAGCACCGGCUAACUACGUG